UACGUAGGGUGCGAGCGUUAAUCGGAAUUACUGGGCGUAAAGCGUGCGUAGGCGGUUCGUUAUGUCCGUGCUGUGAAAGCCCCGGGCUUAACCUACGGGAAUGGCAGUGGAAACUGGCGGGCUUGAGUGUGGGCAGAGGGGGUGGAAUUCCGGCGUGUAGCAGUGAAAUGCGUAGAGAUGCGGAGGAACACCGAUGGCGAAGGCCAGCCCUGGGCUGACACUGACGCUGAGGCACGAAGCGUGG
rnacentral:rRNA from 1 species